AGCAGCAGCCAUAUCACUCUGCAACUCACAACUGGCAACCCACUGAAGCUAAGCAGGUGUGAGCCUGGUCAGUACCUGGAUGGGAGACCUGGGGAAAACUAAGGUCGCUGCUGGAA
rnacentral:rRNA from 1 species